rnacentral:rRNA from 1 species
GACAGAGGGUGCAAACGUUGUUCGGAAUUACUGGGCGUAAAGCGCGUGUAGGCGGCAAGGCAAGUCGGAUGUGAAAGCCCACGGCUCAACCGUGGAAGUGCACCCGAAACUGCCUAGCUAGAGUCUCGGAGAGGAAGGUGGAAUGCUUGGUGUAGAGGUGAAAUUCGUAGAUAUCAAGCGGAACACCAGUGGCGAAGGCGGCUCACUGGCUCGAUACUGACGCUGAGGUGCGAAAGCGUGGGGAGCAAACAGG